AUCCACAAGCAUCCCCUUCCUUCAGAAUUUGUUAACAGAAGGGGAAAGUCAAAUGAAUAGAAAGUGACAUGUGGGGAGCAGGGAGGGCAGGACUGGGAUGACUCGCCCCUGGUGCUCUGACACUUUGAGCUGCACCCCCAAGACAGUGUUUGGAUUCAAACCAGAGCCAGCAUGACCAGUAACAGUAACUUGUGACUUCACAGUCAGCCACAGAAUUCUGCCAUCAUGGUUCCCCUUGGAAACCUGCGAAGAUUCUGCAGCAGGCUCACUUGGCAGUGUUUUAGAUUAGCUGAAGCAUCUUCGAUAAAUUGGCUGUCUUCGGCUGUCAGUUUAUUAGCAGCUUAUCAGCUUAGUUGUCAAGAUGGGUGGCUGUUGGUCAUGUGUGGCCUGCAGGUCUCACCCAGAGGCAGAACCAAAGGAUGAAGAUGAAGAGGGGGCACUGACAGGUCAUCCCAGAAACCCAAUCCAUGUUGCACCAUUUUCUGGGGGACUCCCCAAUGUUUGGGGGGACACUCUGGGGAAAGAGCUCAUUGAGGAACCCUCCAUGCCAGAACCCCUUCCAGCACCUCGCAUCACCAACAACAUCCUGGGCGAAGUGCUCAUCGAGGAACCCUCCGUGCCAGAACCCCUUCCAGCACCUCACAUCACCAACGACAUCCUGGAGGAAGAGCUCACUGAGGAACCCUCCAUGCCAGAACCUCUUCCAGCACCUGGCAUGACCAACGACAUCCUGGAGGAAGAGCUCAUUGAGGAAACCUCAAUGCCAGAACCCCUUCCAACACCUUGCAUCACCAGUGACCUACUGGGGAAAGUGCUCAUUGAGGAUACCUCAGUGCCAGGUCCUUCCAUCCUCACAGACACUCCAAAGGAAGCAGCUUCUGUGUCAGAGCCCUUACUAGAGCCUUCCAUUGCUGAUAAUUAUCUUCAGCAAGAAGUAGAACUCCUCAAAGGGUUACAACAUGACUAUGUCCAGCAGCAACUGAGGGAUCGCCGCAUUUUCCAACAGUUCCCUCAUUCUCUUCGGGCCAUCAACCUGCAAAUCGGACAUACACGGGCAAGGCUCAUCCGCAGUGAAGUUCGGCUGCAGCGGUGGGAAAGGAAAGGUAUGUUCACAGCAUGCCCCUGAAAUUGCUGCUGGGCUAAGAAUGGCUCUUUUGUUUAUUUCAUGUUGAAAUGCUUGAUUUGAGUCUGCAUCUAAGGUUUCAGGGGGGAGGCCUGUGAGUGGGUUGUCAGUGCUUGCUGAAGUGUUCCUUCGUUUUCUGUCUUUCAUGUGUCCAAGCUCCAGUGCCUGUAAUCCAAGCAGCUUCUCAGAAUGUUCCUGCAGGCCCUGCUGCACUUCUCCAGCCCUCUGGGUCUGAUUCAUCAUUGUCUUCUGCCUCCCUUGAGGUUGCCUCUAUCCCACCCUCCACCUCCACCUCUUCCCUCCUCCUGCAUCCCUCUCCACAUCCUCCUCCUUCCCCACCUCCUCUGGAGCCGGACCUCAGCAUUAUGAAAGAAACUCUGCAGAGUUUGAUAGAGAUGCAGGUCCAUCAGCUGCGUGACCGCCAAAGAGACCUCCGCAGCUGCCAGGAAUGCUUACAAAGCUUCCAGGCACUGAGGGGACAAUUGAGGCGGCUUUGAGACGGCUAAGGAGCAGACUGGCCAGGGUGGAAGCCACUAUGGGGAUCGUGGUUCCUCCAAGGGAGCUGGACGUUGCUGAGGAAGAAGGGGAAGGCAAAUUAAAGAGACAACUGUGCUACUAUUUACAUAAGUAGCAAUAAAAUGCUGUGUAUAUAUAUUUAAAAAAUUAAAUAUUUGUUUUAAUAGGAUGUAGAGAUAGAACAGCAAUAAAACUUGCAUAUUUAUUGUUUAAAAAAAUAAAAUGUUUUAUUUUAA